UACGUAGGGUGCAAGCGUUGUCCGGAAUUAUUGGGCGUAAAAGAGCUCGUAGGCGGUCUGUCGCGUCGAAUGUGAAAAACCCCGGGGCUCAACCCCGGGCCUGCAUUCGAUACGGGGCAAAACUAGAGUACUGCAGGGGAGGACUGGAAAUUCCUGGUGUAGCGGUGAAAUGCGCAGAUAUCAGGAGGAACACCAGUGGCGAAGGCGGCGAUCUGGGAACAUACUGACGCUGAGGUGCGAAAGCGUGGGGAGCAAACAGG
rnacentral:rRNA from 1 species